rnacentral:rRNA from 1 species
CAGAGAAGUGCUUUAGCAAUAAAGAACCCGGUGACAGGUGCUGCAUGGCUGUCGUCAGCUCGUGUCGUGAGAUGUUGGGUUAAGUCCCGCAACGAGCGCAACCCUCGCCUUUAGUUGCCAGCAUUCAGUUGGGCACUCUAGAGGGACUGCCGGUGUCAAACCGGAGGAAGGUGGGAUGACGUCAAGUCCUCAUGGCCUUUAUGUCUAGGGCUACACACGUACUACAAUGGCCGGUACAAAGGGCAGCCACUCAGCGAUGAGGCGCUAAUCCCAUAAAGCCGGUCUCAGUCCGGAUCGCAGUCUGCAACUCGACUGCGUGAAGUUGGAAUCGCUAGUAAUCGUAGAUCAGCAUGCUACGGUGAAUACGUUCCCGGGCCUU